rnacentral:rRNA from 1 species
UACGUAGGGUGCAAGCGUUGUCCGGAAUUAUUGGGCGUAAAGAGCUCGUAGGCGGUUUGUCGCGUCGAAUGUGAAAACCCGGGGCUCAACCCCCGGGCCUGCAUUCGAUACGGGCAGACUAGAGUUCGGUAGGGGAGUCUGGAAUUCCUGGUGUAGCGGUGAAAUGCGCAGAUAUCAGGAGGAACACCGGUGGCGAAGGCGGGACUCUGGGCCGAUACUGACGCUGAGGAGCGAAAGCGUGGGGAGCGAACAGG